rnacentral:lncRNA from 1 species
GGAAAAUAUUGGGGCUAAUCGGAUCUUGAAACUGAAAAAAAGAACGGGAACAGAGAGGGAGAAUUUCUGUUCUUCGUAGAAAGGAACGGAACAGAGGGAAAUUUCUGUUCUUCUUUCCUCUCUGUGGUUGGUAGCAACGGGAAGGCUGAAAUCGAACCUUUCUCUCCUACUCUGCUCGGUGAAACAGAGUUCCUUACGGGGGGUGGCAGUUGCAUAAAGGAGAGUUCC